CGCAAUGGCGGCGUGCCUAAUACAUGCAAGUCGAACGAACUCUGGUAUUGAUUGGUGCUUGCAUCAUGAUUUACAUUUGAGUGAGUGGCGAACUGGUGAGUAACACGUGGGAAACCUGCCCAGAAGCGGGGGAUAACACCUGGAAACAGAUGCUAAUACCGCAUAACAACUUGGACCGCAUGGUCCGAGUUUGAAAGAUGGCUUCGGCUAUCACUUUUGGAUGGUCCCGCGGCGUAUUAGCUAGAUGGUGAGGUAACGGCUCACCAUGGCAAUGAUACGUAGCCGACCUGAGAGGGUAAUCGGCCACAUUGGGACUGAGACACGGCCCAAACUCCUACGGGAGGCAGCAGUAGGGAAUCUUCCACAAUGGACGAAAGUCUGAUGGAGCAACGCCGCGUGAGUGAAGAAGGGUUUCGGCUCGUAAAACUCUGUUGUUAAAGAAGAACAUAUCUGAGAGUAACUGUUCAGGUAUUGACGGUAUUUAACCAGAAAGCCACGGCUAACUACGUGCCAGCAGCCGCGGUAAUACGUAGGUGGCAAGCGUUGUCCGGAUUUAUUGGGCGUAAAGCGAGCGCAGGCGGUUUUUUAAGUCUGAUGUGAAAGCCUUCGGCUCAACCGAAGAAGUGCAUCGGAAACUGGGAAACUUGAGUGCAGAAGAGGACAGUGGAACUCCAUGUGUAGCGGUGAAAUGCGUAGAUAUAUGGAAGAACACCAGUGGCGAAGGCGGCUGUCUGGUCUGUAACUGACGCUGAGGCUCGAAAGUAUGGGUAGCAAACAGGAUUAGAUACCCUGGUAGUCCAUACCGUAAACGAUGAAUGCUAAGUGUUGGAGGGUUUCCGCCCUUCAGUGCUGCAGCUAACGCAUUAAGCAUUCCGCCUGGGGAGUACGGCCGCAAGGCUGAAACUCAAAGGAAUUGACGGGGGCCCGCACAAGCGGUGGAGCAUGUGGUUUAAUUCGAAGCUACGCGAAGAACCUUACCAGGUCUUGACAUACUAUGCAAAUCUAAGAGAUUAGACGUUCCCUUCGGGGACAUGGAUACAGGUGGGUGCAUGGUUGUCGUCAGCUCGUGUCGUGAGAAGUUGGGGUUAAGUCCCGCAACGAGCGCAACCCUUAUUAUCAGUUGCCAGCAUUAAGUUGGGCACUCUGGUGAGACUGCCGUGACAACCCGAGAAGAGAGGUGGGGAAAGAAGUCAAAUCAUCCUGGCCCCUUAUGACCUGGGCUACACACGUGCUACAAUGGAUGGUACAACGAAUUGCGAAAUCCCCGAGAGUAACUAAUCCUUAAACCCUCUCUCCCCUCCGAAUUGGAGGGUGGACUCGCCUACAUGAAGUCGGAAACUCUUAAUACCGGAAAAACAUGGCCGCCGGGAAAUAAUUUCCGGCCUUUUAACCGCCCCCCCCCCCCCAGAGAUGUGUACCCCCAACCCCCCGGGGGGAGCUUUUAGAACCCCCCACCGGGGGGAAAAAAUAAUGGGAAGUCAAAGGCAAGGGGGGGCGGGGGGGAGGCGGGGCUUUUCUCUUAU
rnacentral:rRNA from 1 species